AAGAGACGGGGCGUUUGGACUUACUCUGAGCUAUCUUGGCCAGGUGGAGCCUGUUGACCCAGACGAUCUUACUGAGAGAACUAGUAGUGUUGAAGACCACCUUGAUGCUGACUGGAUGACCAGACCUGAAGGAAAAGGUAUAGACAGACGCAGACGGGACUUGUUGGCGUUCUGGAUCUCCUCCUCCUUCAGACGGAUGAGCCUCUGCAGAGCCAGACACCAGUCCUGAGACACGGUGGUGUUCAGGUUCUACAGGAGGGACAGAAGGACAUGAGGUUGGCGGAGGUCUUAAUCAUCAGCUGGGCAAUAACAACCCUCCAGUGGGACACACCACUUCACUGUGUAUCUGGGUCCAACAGGGAUUGGACUGCUGAUGUCAGGAGGACCCCUGCUGGACAUCAUGAGGCAGGAUUUUUGUCUCUGCUGCAGCUCCGCCUCCUGAUCUGCCACACGUUUCUGCUCAUUGAGCUUCUCAGCCAGAGUCUCCAGCUCAGAGAGAGCCAGCUGCAGGGGCAAACGGUCAGCAUGGGAAUCUGGAGUGUUCUUCAGCAUGUCCUGAGAGUCUGAUUGUUACGUGUGGGCAUGGCAGGAAGCAGGCAGGAACCAAGUGGAGCACAAGGGAGAGUCCCUUCAGGUGCAGCAGGUUUACUAAGAGCAACAAGAACAUCUCUCAGAGGUAAAGCCUAGUCUUCAGGCACACUCUCCUCCAAAAACUUGGACUUUAUCAAAAAUCUAAAACCAAACUCAUCAAGCAUGAGUUCACACGCUACCAGUGCCCUCUUCACCAACAGAUCCCACCAAGACAGAGUGAGGGAGAGAGGUGUAUACAUACCCAGUGAACCAGGUGACACCAGUGAGACUAACGACAGAGACACAGUGUAUCUACAGAAACGGUGUGGGCGAAAUACAACCAAGUGGAAAUUCUGUAAAAUAUCCAAGUGAAAUGGAAACAGUUUACACCAUGCAUUUUCAUUGGUUCAUUGGUUCCUGUUUCAUUAUUCAAACAAAUAACAGAA